rnacentral:sRNA from 1 species
UUCGGAAUGAUUUAUAGUCAAGAAAGCUUGAAAGUUGGGCUUAUUUUUAUGUAUUCAAUUCGACUAGGUCGUCCUGUGAACAUAAGUAAUACCGGCAUUUUCAGCUCCACCGCCGCAAAGGCUUACGUAUUGUUUUAUUUACAGGAAUAUAGACUAUGUCUCAAGUAACUGGUGUUGUUAAGUGGUUUAACUCUGACAAAGGUUUUGGCUUCAUCGCUCAAGAAUCAGGUCCAGACGUUUUCGUUCACUUCCGUGCUAUCGUAGCUGAUGGCUUCAAAACUCUGGACGAAGGUCAAAAAGUUAGCUUCACUGUGACUCAAGGCCAGAAAGGUCCUCAAGCUGAGAACGUUCAAAUCAUCGGCUAAGACCUAAACAGGUUUUAAUAAAACGCGGAGCAAUUACUCCGCGUUUUUUA